AUUGAACGCUGGCGGAAUGCUUUACACAUGCAAGUCGAACGGCAGCACGGACUUCGGUCUGGUGGCGAGUGGCGAACGGGUGAGUAAUGUAUCGGAACGUGCCCAGUCGUGGGGGAUAACGUAGUGAAAAUUACGCUAAUACCGCAUACGAUCUAUGGAUGAAAGCGGGGGAUCGCAAGCCCUCGCGCGUUUGGAGCGGCCGAUAUCAGAUUAGGUAGUUGGUGGGGUAAAGGCCCACCAAGCCAACGAUCUGUAGCUGGUCUGAGAGGACGACCAGCCACACUGGAACUGAGACACGGUCCAGACUCCUACGGGAGGCAGCAGUGGGGAAUUUUGGACAAUGGGCGAAAGCCUGAUCCAGCCAUUCCGCGUGCAGGAUGAAGGCCCUCGGGUUGUAAACUGCUUUUGUACAGAACGAAAAGGUCUCUACUAAUACUAGGAGCUCAUGACGGUACUGUAAGAAUAAGCACCGGCUAACUACGUGCCAGCCGCCGCCGUAA
rnacentral:rRNA from 1 species